rnacentral:rRNA from 1 species
GACAGAGGGGGCAAGCGUUGCUCGGAAUCACUGGGCGUAAAGGGCUCGUAGGCGGUUUGUCGCGUCGGGAGUGAAAUCCACUGGCUUAACUGGUGGCUUGCUUUCGAUACGGGCAGACUGGAGGUAUGCAGGGGAGAACGGAAUUCCUGGUGUAGCGGUGAAAUGCGCAGAUAUCAGGAGGAACACCGGUGGCGAAGGCGGAUCUCUGGGCCUGUCCUGACGCUGAGGCGCGAAAGCUAGGGGAGCGAACAGG